UAAUUUAAUGAAGCGAAACAUUCAAUGAUCCCUAAAAGUCCAAAACGACGACCUGCAACGAAGCUGGAAACGUCGUUUUGUUCGUCCCUUUGCAUGUUUCCUCUACUCUUCCCACUGGUGUCCACUGCUAGAUGUAGAAUUUCACUGUAAUCGUAAUCCGAAGCUAACCUCGCUCCCAAAAUGUUUCACUCCGCAACUUUAACCGUUUUACUCCUAACUGGUGUUCUCUUGCAGAUAUCAUGGGUCACUUCAAUUUCAAUGCCGAGUUCCAAUUGCUACGCUUUCAAUAAUUCAAGUCGUAUCGUUGAUUUCAGUAGCUGGACUGGUGACCCUUUUGAGUAUGAUGAGAAGCAAGGUUCUGAUGUGGUUGUAAGAUUCUGCAAAGAUGUGGAGAGUAGAUCGCAAACGGGAUAUGUUGAUUUUGGCCGAUUUGAUAGGUUCAACUACUUUGUUGCUGGUUCUGGCCAAUAUGAUUUUGUUCAAGAAUUUUAUAAUGGUGACCUAAUGGGCUGUGAACAAAGUUAUGACAAAAUGGGACGAACAGCUCAGGUAAAUGUCAUAUGUGGGAGCUGUCCUAAUGGACAAUGUAAAGGUCGUCCUGGAUGCAUAUGUCACGUCGCACAUGAAUCGAACUGCAGAGUUUUAAUUGAACUUGCAAUUUCAUGUGAGAAACCGGGCCCACAAAUAUUUCAAGGCUUCACUGUUGGUUUUCAUCCACGAUCAUGGGAACUUGUUUAUAAUGGCAUGACUCAGUUCGGUUUUGAGAAAACCCAUCAUGAUUUUAGCUUUCAGACAUCACAAACUCAAGUAGUCCUAUUUACAAGUGCAAUUGCUUCACUCUCAUCCUUGGUUCGUAAACCUAUUUUGAAGGUUCUUCCAAAUGAUGGUUUGAGAGUGAAAUUGUCUGGAUCUGCUGCUAGUGGGAAGCCUCCGACAACUUUGUCACCCACAAUGUUGAUCCUUGAUUGGAGAUGUGAGGUAACCCGUAACACGCCAUAUGAAGUUAACAUCACAAUCCCGAUAGAAGGAUAUGAACCCAUUCAAUUUGUGCUUACAAAAAUGUGCGACUACAAACAAGAUCAAGGAGGUGGUGCCACAAGAGGAUGGGCAAUAUUUGGAGUGAUAUCUUGCAUAUUCUUUGUCUCAUCAACAAUUUUUUGCUGUGGAGGGUUCAUUUACAAGACUAAAGUGGAGCGCCAGCGUGGGGUUGAUGCAUUGCCUGGCAUGACAUACCUAUCUGCCUGCUUAGAGGCAGUUAGUGGGGCUGGGCAAGGUUACUCACGGCCAGAAGACUCGUACGCCUCCGGCGAAACCUCUUGGGAGCGCCCUCCUGGUCCUUCACAACCUCAAGCUUCAUGGAGACCAACAGAGAGAAAAUAUGGCGCCAUUUGAACGCAUCCUGGCCAUUUGAACAGGUAAGUAAAGAAGAGAUAGUUGUAGUAGUUUGAAUCUAGCAGCUGAAUUGAAGUUAAUGAUAGGUCGAAUUCAAGUAUAUGCGAAACAAAAAGGAUAAACAUUUGUGACACUGAGAUGCAAAAGAAUUAGUAAGUACACAAACUCUAUUCAGAAGUUGAAACAAGAUGACACCGGUUCGAGGAAAUGUGAGGGUUCUUUUAAGUUGCGCGAAUACCUUAUGACGAAUAAUACAUGGGUAUUUAAUGUGAUUUGUGGUAUACAUAAUUAGGACAUGUGUCACAAGUUAGUCGGUCAUCCCAUUGCAUGUUGUCUUAAACUUGAACAAAAGGAACUUGUUUAUGACAUGUCAUUGAAUAUGGUGCAACCUAAAAACAUUCUUGCAACUUUGAAAUGGAAAAUACCUCAAAAUGUCUUAAAUAUCGAGCAAAUAUACAAUGUUUGUGCCUGAAACAACAAGUCGAUAAGAGGUCCAAGAAUUGAAAUGCAACAAUUGUUGAAACUUUUGGUGAUAACCAUUAUGUAUCUAGGUAAAAAGUGUGCGGGCAUGGAGAAAUCGUUCGAGAUAUAUUUUGGACUCAUCCUGAUUCCAUCAAGUUAUUCAACACAUUUUCCACUGUUCUCAUUAUUGAUUCAACAUAUAAGACCAACAAAUACAUACUUCAACUUCUGGAAAUUGUUGGUGUUACUUCUACAGAGAUGAAUUUUUCAAUCGGGUUUGCGUUUUCGGAAAGUGAAAAAUAUGACAAUGUUACUUUGCCUUUAGAAGUGUGUCAGACUUUUUUUGAAAGACCAAUAAAACAUGUUAAAUGUCACUGUCACUGUCACGGACAAUGAUACCACACAGAUGAAUUUGAUUGCAAAGAUGUUUCAUACAUCA